UGCCCACCAUGCAUAGAGAUUGUGUAGUCC
rnacentral:piRNA from 1 species